AACGAACGCUGGCGGCAUGCCUAACACAUGCAAGUCGAACGAGACCUUCGGGUCUAGUGGCGCACGGGUGCGUAACGCGUUGGAACCUGCCCUUAGGUUCGGAAUAACUCCCCGAAAGGGGUGCUAAUACCGGAUAAUGUCUUCGGACCAAAGAUUUAUCGCCUUUGGAUGGGCCCGCGUUGGAUUAGCUAGUUGGUAGGGUAAAAGCCUACCAAGGCGACGAUCCAUAGCUGGUCUGAGAGGAUGAUCAGCCACACUGGGACUGAGACACGGCCCAGACUCCUACGGGAGGCAGCAGUGGGGAAUAUUGGACAAUGGGCGAAAGCCUGAUCCAGCAAUGCCGCGUGAGUGAUGAAGGCCUUAGGGUUGUAAAGCUCUUUUACCCGGGAUGAUAAUGACAGUACCGGGAGAAUAAGCUCCGGCUAACUCCGU
rnacentral:rRNA from 1 species